CCGGCCCGCACUGGUGCGUCGCCUUAAUUGCGGCCGGCGGAGUCAGGGAGGCUCACGCCUUCGCCAGUUCGUCUACGCCCCCGGCCAUGGGUUCCUCCGACAACCAUGGUGCGAGGAUGCUGCUGCCCUUUUCCUCGCACAAGCAGCGCAUCCCCGACCCCGACGAGCUCUUGGGGGGAUCGCGGCCGACGGCGCUGCUAGUCGGCCUGUCCGGCGGCAAGGUCUGGCGCGCCGAGGUCUCCCGGGACGGCGACGGCGCGUUCCUGGGGCGCGGGUGGCCGGAGUUCGCCGCCGCGCACGGUCUCGCCGCGCCGGCGCGGGGUGGUUCUUGGCGGUCCGGCACCACGGCGGCGGCGUGCUCACCGUCAAGGCGUUCGACGCCAGCCGAUGCCUCUGGGAGGUCGGCGCUCCGGCUGCUGGUAAAUCAAAAAAAAAAAAAAAUCCUCACAUGCCAUUGGUAUCAACGGUGAUCGUGAUUCGAGACUUUGGCCGGAUAAUAUCAUGCUCUAUUACUUGUAUUUCUCCCCAUUUGUACUUCUACGAAAUAAAGCCAACUCCCUUUUCCUCAUUUUGUCUAUUGCGAAUAAACCCUAUCAAGUGCCCAAUUUUUCUCAAAUUCUAUGGAAAUCUGCAGGUUUUCCUGCAAAAUUCCUAUGACAUCCUUGUCUUUCAGAUCGCUCAAAAAUGCAAAUUCCGUUCAAUUCCAUUCAAAAAUGCAAUUUUCACCCUCGAACUAUCGCAAAAGUCCAAGGUACUUAUACCAAAUUGUGAUCUGUUGGUUUCUAUUUUUUCCAAAACUAUUCGGUGUAGCCACUUAAUUAGUUGUUUUUUCAGUUCAAACUAAUUGUUGAUGGCCAUAUUUUGUCCAUUUGAAGCAACAAGGAUCGGCAAAGUCCCUUCACAUAAGCCACAGUUCAUUAGUUUGUUUCAGCCUGAUAAUUUCACGAAAAGAUAGUUUGGGAAUUCUUCAUGCUAGUUUGUUUCCACACUUUGUUUCGCACAAUGGAAUGAUCAGACUUCACCUUUUUUGUUCCUAAUGUAUUCUUGCAGCCAAUACAUACUAAUUUUGUGCAACGCUGCAUCCCGCACCUAAACAAUCGAAUUGCUGUCAUUGUCAGCCCACUUGGCAAAUUUUGGCCCGUUGGCUUGAGGUGAACCAGUCAGGCAUGUCGUUCGCAGGUGGUUGGUCAGAGUUUCUCUCGUUUCAUGGCAUCACUGAAGGAAAUGUUCUUCUGUUAAAGUAUCAGAGCAACAUGGUGUUCACUGUCAAAUUUUUUGGUCCGGACGGAUGCCAGAUACAAUCGAAACACAAGGAAACAAUAAUUCAACAAAGUCAGCAAAAGCUAAAUCAGAUUUUCUCUGUAUUUAUGCAUCUGUUAAAAAAAUGAUUGAAUGUGUAGUUAGAUAAUAAAAUGCAAUGUCUUUUGUUUGUCUUAUGAAGCUCCAACACUACCAGAUACUGAAAAGCAACGUGAGCCAACAUCAGCUUCUGAAAAGAAACGUAAGAGCAAGAAUGAUAGGUCAAGCAGUGAAGGACUGAAGAGACCAAAAGGAUCCAUGACUUCUUUGGAUAUGGCAAUAUGGCAUCAUUGCGGAGGAAAUCUGUCUAUGAGAUUGAGCCACAGUCAUGGAUAAAGGACAUAAAUAAGAACACACUUGAAAAUAUCUUGUAAGCACAUUAUUUCCCUAUCGAGUAAGAUAAACCUUUUUGAACCUUUAAAAGAACAUGAGCUGACAAUUUACUAGGCUACAGCGUACCAAUUUAAACAAGCUUGCUUUGCAUUAUCAGGAACAGAAACCAACAUGUUCAUUUGGUGCUCUAAGUAAUUACAAUAUGUGCUUGAUAACAAGAACAAAACAAUGAAACAUUGUAGUACUUUUUUUUAUAUAACCAGUCUUGUAUAUUGUCCCAGAAGAAGCAGAUUUAUGGUCUAGCACUCAGAAUUCAUCCGGUGUGAAAAAACUGAAAACGUGCCGUUCACUGCUUACUGAAACAAAUGUGAUUGCAAGUUUUCAGUCUUUGGCAGCCAGUAUGAAAAAACUGAAAAUGAGUCAUUUGACUGCUUACUGUAACCAAUGUGAUUGCAGUUUUUGCAGUCUUUGGCAGCAGCCUUCUGCAAUGCGAUUGGGCUAUGGGAACCUUGCAUGAUCACGCUGAAAAACUCAAUGAACAGCACCAGGUCUUGGCAGGUGCGUUCUAACCCGUACAAGCAUUGCAGCUACCAGAUUGGCUCGGGUUGGAAGAGGUUCUGCCAGGAUAACAGACUCAAGCAAGGUGAUGUCUGCACCUUCAAUGUCAUAGAAACCAAUCUGUGGCAUGUUGAUAUCAUGCGUGAUGUUCAAACUCAGCAAGAGUGUUCUUCCAGCAUGAAGAAUGAGCGCAGGAACAACAGUUCAGGUUGUGAAGGACAAAAGUGGCCAAAAGGAUCCAUGAAUUCUUUGAACAAGGCAUCAUACAACCGAAAUGUGUCUAUGAGAUUGGCCCGCCGUCUUGGAUAAAGAAGGAGAUCAACACCAGCACAUUUGAUAACAGUCUCUCUUUGGCUCCAGCGUUCUGUGAUGCAAUUGGGUUCCGGAAGCCUUGUACAAUCACGCUCAAGAGUUCAACAAACAACAUCAAGUCUUGGCAGGUUUGUGGUUCCCCAUACAAUAAUAGCAGCCAUAAGCUUGGGUCAGGCUGGAAGAGGUUCUGCAAGGAUAAUAAGCUGAAGAAAGGAGAUGUAUGCACCUUCAAUGUCAUCAAAACCUUGCUGUGGCAUGUUGACAUCUCACGGUAUACUCAAAAGCAACAGGAAGCAUCUUCUAGUAGGAAGUGUAGGAAAAAGAAUGACAAGCCAAGUUGUGAAGGACAGAAGAGGCCCAAAGGUUCCAUGAGUUUGAACAGGGGAUCAUCAUCCACGAAAUCUAUAAGCUUGGGCCACCCUCAUGGAUAAAGAAGGAGAUCAGCAUCUAUGCACUUCAAAAGCAUAUUUCUUUGGCAGCAACAUUCUGCAACGCAAUUGGGUUCCGAGGACAUUGUACGAUCACACUUAAGAUGGCACUGGAUAGCACCAAGUCUUGGCAGGUUCUUUGUCUCCUGUACAAACACAACUGCCAGAUUCGAUUGGGCUGGAAAUUGUUCUGCCAGGAGAACAGGCUUAAGGUAGGCGACAUCUGCACCUUCAAUGUCAUCGAAACCACACUGUGGCAUGUCAUCAUAGAUCGUCGAUGAGCAUUGACCAUAUAGCACAUCUGUUUUUCUGUUGCUUUUUGUCAAAAGCACUGGAUGUUAUUUGCAUAUUUGGUUGUAUACAAGAUUUUCUGUAAGUUGACUUUCAUUCUUGUGUGUCUAACUUGAACACUUGAGGAGCAGUCUGCUGAUGUCAAUGUUAUUUAUGUGGGUAUUUAAAGUUAUCUGCUUAACAGAAUGAAA